rnacentral:misc_RNA from 1 species
GAGAGCCCACGGGCGUAUUAGAGACUUGUGAAUUGUGCGUUCGCGCAUUGUUGGCUUAUGAGGUUGGCUUGUGAACGCCUUCGGGCCGCCUUCGGGCUUCAAACUUGAUGUAACGAACGUCUCUAUGAGAAAAACA